rnacentral:rRNA from 1 species
UACGUAGGGUGCAAGCGUUAAUCGGAAUUACUGGGCGUAAAGCGUGCGCAGGCGGUUUUGUAAGUCUGUCGUGAAAGCCCCGGGCUCAACCUGGGAAUUGCGAUGGAGACUGCAAGGCUUGAAUCUGGCAGAGGGGGUAGAAUUCCACGUGUAGCAGUGAAAUGCGUAGAGAUGUGGAGGAACACCGAUGGCGAAGGCAGCCCCUGGGUCAACACUGACGCUCAGGCACGAAAGCGUGGGGAGCAAACAGG